rnacentral:tRNA from 1 species
GGUAUCGCGCCGGACGAACGGAUAACUUUGAUGUCGUUAAUUAUGAGAACUUCUCUCCGAUACCU